CAGGGUGAGGGCCUUGUGGGUCAGUGCCCAGGCUGGGGGGCGGGUAGUAGAGGGGAGCAGUGAUCUGGCUUAUUGCUGAGUAGGUAGCUGGUACAUAGGUCCUUUUGACUGGCAGAUCCCAGGACAUUCAGGGGAGAGAACAGCCUGGGCUGUGGUAAAUCCCCUCUUCCCCCUCCCCUGCGCCCGCCCCUGUCCAUGCCCUGGGAGUCCUGGCUUCUACCCCAGACUAGACCCCAAUCCACUCCCAGUGCUGGGGAUAGAGCGCAGGCAUCCUGGUUUACAGCUCCCCCCAUGAGCUGCAGUGCAUUCUCCAGCUCUGGCCAGGUUUAAAUCAAGAUGGGGUGUUUUCCUAAAAGAUGUGCUCUGGUUCCAGCAGGGAUUAAUUCAAGGCCUGGGUCAGGCAGGGGGCCAGAUGUCAUGAUCACAGGGAUCCCUUCUGGCUUUGAGACCUAUGAGAACCUUGAGCUAUCAGCAGAGCCCCAGGGCAGCUCAUUGUAAGGUCUGACAGCACAGUCCUCAUCAGCUGUGGAUGUCUUGGUAAGAGGAGGAGCCAGGCUGAUCUCCAGGUGUUCAGGGAGUUUCACCACCUGCAGCUGAUCAGUGAGUAAAGCAGGGCCAGGAAGUAUAUUUAAGGGCCAGAUCUAGGCCACACUUCCUUUUACGGGGAGGGUUAUGAGAGAGAAUCCCCUAUGAAAACUGCUUCAGCUUGCUGCUAGUUUGGGGUUUUCCAGAACCUUCCCCACUCCACUGGGGGUGGGAAUAGUCUUCUCAUUUCCAGCCUCAGCUGAUCCCUGAUGAGUUUAUCCCCCUUGGAUUUUGGGCCAGCGUUGUCCUUUUGCUUCACUGGCUCUUUCCCUUCCUUGCUGUACUUACAGGGAGCAACCACAUCUGCUCUUUUUAGGCCAAACAAGCCAAACUCUUUCAGUCUCCUCUGAAGAGUUGUGGGCGGUUUCCCUGAGCAUUGUAGUUGUCCUGAUCUGUCUUAGUUGGGAUUCCUCUUUGGGACUCUGAAUAGGACCUAGGAUUCCAGAUGAGGCCUGGUCCACAGAAUUUAAAUGUCUCAAGAGCUCCUGGAAAUACAUGGCCUGGUACAUCAGCUGAGUAUCACCUGACAAUGCCAGCAGGAGGACAACCCUGUGGACUCUCAAGUCCCUAAAAGCAAGACCGGGAGGUGACAAAAGAAAACACACGGGAACUUGGGAGCAGAUCCUGCCCUGUAAUUUGGUCAGCAAUGCUACUGAACAUCUGUGAAAAAUCCCUUUUUGAUAGGGAAGUCACAAGAGCGGUCAUGCAACCUUCCCAGCGGUAUGUUUUGGUGUCCAGGGCAGCUGGCAGAGAGUGGCUUUCCUCCACCCCUCCCUCCUGGAAUCCUGGUGGGAUGAAUGGGCUGCUUAAACAGCUGGAAGAUCAGAAGAGCUCCAAGGUAGACAAGGCAUCUGGGACUCUAAUUAGGCAGCAUGGACACUGCCUGAGAUGGAGUGUGACCAACAAGAGGUGGCCAAGUCAUCUCUAGUCGCAGGCCAUGAGGAGCAGGCCCUUAAAAGGGGGAAGAGGCCAUGCGCUCAGGAGCACACUCACAAGCUUGUACCUCCAAUGAAGACCCUUCGCCCGGACCUCCUGGCCAGCGGUUCGCUGCCUUCCAUUCCAUCGUGCCUCGGGAAGACUUGCCUUCAUUGCUGCGCUGUGGGACACUUACCUUGAAGGAUCCUGACAUCUCCAGUGCUGUGCUUGUCCUGGGAGUGUGAGUAUGAGAGUGUGACCCCCUCCCUUUUCUUUUGAGCUUAGCUAUCAGUAUAAUAAACAUGCUGCUCUCUGCCAAACUCUGGUGGGUCAUUAGUCUUUCCUAAGCUUACUAGCUGACCCAAUUUCGAGUAACAUUACUAGUGGAGAAUGUAGGCAGCUUAGUGGAGGGUUUGACCCAAGACUAGGUGUAAACUCC